rnacentral:rRNA from 1 species
GCAGUCGAGCGGCACCUUCGGGUGUAGCGGCGGACGGGUUAGUAACGCGUGGGAAUAUACCCUUCACUACGGAAUAGCCUCGGGAAACUGGGAGUAAUACCGUAUACGCCCUUUUGGGGAAAGAUUUAUCGGUGAAGGAUUAGCCCGCGUCUGAUUAGAUAGUUGGUGGGGUAAUGGCCUACCAAGUCUACGAUCAGUAGCUGGUUUGAGAGGAUGAUCAGCAACACUGGGACUGAGACACGGCCCAGACUCCUACGGGAGGCAGCAGUGGGGAAUCUUAGACAAUGGGCGCAAGCCUGAUCUAGCCAUGCCGCGUGAGUGACGAAGGCCUUAGGGUCGUAAAGCUCUUUCGCCAGAGAUGAUAAUGACAGUAUCUGGUAAAGAAACCCCGGCUAACUCCGUGCCAGCAGCCGCGGUAAUACGGAGGGGGUUAGCGUUGUUCGGAAUUACUGGGCGUAAAGCGCACGUAGGCGGAUUGGAAAGUAUGGGGUGAAAUCCCAGGGCUCAACCCUGGAACUGCCUUGUAAACUCCCAGUCUAGAGUUCGAGAGAGGUGAGUGGAAUUCCAAGUGUAGAGGUGAAAUUCGUAGAUAUUUGGAGGAACACCAGUGGCGAAGGCGGCUCACUGGCUCGAUACUGACGCUGAGGUGCGAAAGUGUGGGGAGCAAACAGGAUUAGAUACCCUGGUAGUCCACACCGUAAA